CCUACGGGUGGCUGCAGUGGGGAAUUUUGGACAAUGGGGGCAACCCUGAUCCAGCCAUGCCGCGUGCGGGAAGAAGGCCUUCGGGUUGUAAACCGCUUUUGUCAGGGAAGAAAUCUUUCGAGCUAAUACCUUGGGAGCAUGACGGUACCUGAAGAAUAAGCACCGGCUAACUACGUGCCAGCAGCCGCGGUAAUACGUAGGGUGCAAGCUUUGAUCGGAAUUACUGGGGGCAAAGCUGCAGCAGACGGUUGAAAUCCCCGGGCUUAACCUGGGAACUGCACUUGUGACUGUACGGCUGGAGUACGGCAGAGGGGGAUGGAAUUCCGCGUGUAGCAGUGAAAUGCGUAGAUAUGCGGAGGAACACCGAUGGCGAAGGCAGUCCCCUGGACCUGUACUGACGCUCAUGCACGAAAGCGUGGGGAGCAAACAGGAUUAGAUACCCUAGUAGUC
rnacentral:rRNA from 1 species